GUUUAAAAAACAUGUCUUUUUGAUUAUAAUUUAAAGUUGUCUCUGCCCAAUGAUUUUUAAAUGGCCGCAGUAUUUUGACUGUGCAAAGGUAGCAUAAUCAAUAGUUUUUUAAUUAAGAACUGGUAUGAAAGAGUUGAUAAAAUAUAUACUUUAUUUAUUUAAAAUUUUUAAUUUAUAUUUUUAGUUAAAAUACUAAAAUAAUAUUAUGGGACGAGAAGACCCUUUAGAAUUUUAUAAAUUUAUUUUUAUAAAUAUUUAUAAUUUUUUUUAUAUAAUAGAAUUUAUUUUAUUGGGAGGAUAAUUAAAUUUAUUUAACUUUAAUAUUUUAUUUAACAAUAAUUAUUGAAUUAAAGAUUUUUUUUAAAAAUUAUUAGAUUAAAUUACCUAAGGGAUAACAGCGUAAUAUUUUUGGAGAGUUCAUAUUGAUAAAAAUGUUUGCGACCUCGAUUUUGAA
rnacentral:rRNA from 1 species